GACGAACGCUGGCGGCGUGCUUAACACAUGCAAGUCGAACGAUGAAGCACCAGCUUGCUGGUGUGGAUUAGUGGCGAACGGGUGAGUAACACGUGAGUAACCUGCCCCUCACUCUGGGAUAAGCCUGGGAAACUGGGUCUAAUACUGGAUACGACCGAUCUCCGCAUGGAGUGUUGGUGGAAAGUUUUUGUGGUGGGGGAUGGGCUCGCGGCCUAUCAGCUUGUUGGUGGGGUAAUGGCCUACCAAGGCGACGACGGGUAGCCGGCCUGAGAGGGCGACCGGCCACACUGGGACUGAGACACGGCCCAGACUCCUACGGGAGGCAGCAGUGGGGAAUAUUGCACAAUGGGCGAAAGCCUGAUGCAGCGACGCCGCGUGAGGGAUGACGGCCUUCGGGUUGUAAACCUCUUUCACCAGGGACGAAGCUAACGUGACGGUACCUGGAGAAGAAGCACCGGCUAACUACGUG
rnacentral:rRNA from 1 species